rnacentral:snRNA from 1 species
AGCUUUGCGCAGUGGAAGUAUUGUAGCCCGUGAGGUUAUCUGAGGCAUGACUAUUGCUAAUUGAAAACUUUCCCCAGUACCCUGUCGUGACUACCUGCAGUACAGUCAGCACUGGCAAUUUCUGACAGUCUUUGUGGAGA